rnacentral:lncRNA from 1 species
CUUGUAAGACAAAAUAAACAAAAAACAAGUGAAACAAUAUAACAAUGAAGCUAACACAGAUUAAACAAAUCAUAAACAUAUUCAAACUUGUUGAAACAAAGAGGUAUAUCCAUCGAUAAAAUAAAGAGAUGAAAAGAAAUGGACCUCAAUAAUUAACUCCUUAGUAUUGACGAGAACUUGGUUACGACAAACUCCGACGAGUCGAAUCUGACCGGGAAAUGAAAUGGCAGGAACUCGGACCGCGAAUCACAUAAUUAACCUCGAACGAUACCAACAACAAAAAACUAGUGAAGAUUAACUUGUUUUGGUGAACACAAAGUGUUUGUGGUAUUGUCUAUUAGUGGAAAGGUGGUGUUGAUUGAGAUUUUUAGGCAAAGAAUGUGGUGUUUCAUGGUGAUGCAGGUGGCGGGUUCAUAAAGUAUUCACAUAGCUUAUUCUUCCAAAUCUCUCUAUUACUCUCUGCCCCUCCUCUCUCUAUGUGUGUGUGCGAGAGCUAAUCGAUUAAGGAAAUGGGGUCGUUUUUCUUUCGAAGGAAGCAGCGGCGUUCAAGGUCCAAAUUCAAAGGUGGGGUCUGCCUUUUUUAAGAUAGAGAUCAAGGUCCUCUUCUUUUCUUGUGUGAUUAGGUUUUAUUUAGCAUUAUAAGAAGGUUGUGGGCUCAAAUGAGUGAUGGGUCAAUUGAUAUUGGGUUUUGGGUAGUGGGCUUGACCAAAUUUGGGCCUCUUUUGGGCCAAGUCAAGCUAAAAAUAAUAGUCUUCUCACAUAAAAACAAGACAAAAUUAGUCCAAAACUUUUCUUCUUAUCUUUUUUUUGGAAAAUAUAUAAUAUCAAUACUAUUUUUAUAUUUUUUAAUUUUUUGAAAGGUAAUGUAUAAAAGAAAAGAGAAUGCCCCGACUCUUAUUUAGAGAGGAUGACAGGUUUUUUGACCCGACCCUUAUUUAGAGAUACCAAACACUAAAAGAAAAGACAAUGUGACCGAGCCCUAAUAUCUGAGCUGCCUACAUAUCCUUGGCUAUAAAGGAAUCAAGUCACGUGUAGUUCAGAAGUGAAUGAGGUAAUGAAGUAUGUGAAGAGGAUGAGAGAGUCGAGUGAGGUUCCGUUCCGUCGAGGUUCCGAUCCGCGGUCUUAUUAUUACAUCAAAAUCAAAAAUGAAAAAGACUAACUAAGACUGUCAGCUAUGAGUUACAAGAUUCUUAUCUAUAAGUCUUCUGAAACUUGAUCUUGAGUCUUGAAUGGUUCUUCAUGCAGACUUUUGAUUUGAACUUUGAUGCUUGCUAGCUGCAGGUGCUGGUUCAUUCUUCCACGACUUCUUCGGAUUAAAACUGGACAUGUAGUGCUCGUGACUUCAGCCAUGUCUUGAGCAGUUCACAUCUUUCUCUGCUUCUACAUUUUGGAUUAACUUCUUUUUUUUCUUUUCUUUUAUUCUGGAUUGAGACUACUUCUAUUGGUCGUCUCGGACUAUUGACCCGCAUUCUUGCCGCAAGCUUCUGCUACUUCUGACUUGAAUUGAAUUCUGAAAUGACUUCCCUUGUUCUCCAGGUGGGCACUUGCUACUAACUUGAAACUUGAAAUAAUUCUGAAACGAAUUACCUCAUUCUCUAGGUGGGUGCCUGCAAUCAAAACCCAAACAAACAAAAAAAUUGCCUCAGUUUGCACUCGGAAGAUUUGUGAGUUGUUAGCAAAACUGUAAACCACUUAUGAUAUUGAUGCAAUGAUGAGAGUAAAUUAAAGACUCGACUAGGAUGUGUUUCUCCUGUGAGUAAAACCAAGAAAAUUUGAUUAGCAAAUUUAUCUACUAAAAAUAAACCCUCAAUGACCCAGAUUAGGAAAUGUGUCUCCUACGGGUGAAACUUGAAUGAACCAAACUAGAAAGUGCAUCUCCUAGGGAUGAAAUCUCAAUUUAGGAAGUGCAUCUCCUAAAAGUAUAUCCUGAAAGACCCAGACUAGGAACUGCGUCUCCUAGGGAUGAAACAUGAAUGAACCAAACUAGAAAGUACGUGUCCUAGGGCUGAAUUUAAAUGACCCAAACUAGGAAGUGCAUCUUCUAGGGGUAAAAUCUCAAUUUAGGAAGUGCGUCUACUAAAAGUAUAUCCUGAAAAACCCAGACUAGGAAGUGAAUCUCCUAGGGGUUAGACUUAAAUGAACCAAACUAGGAAAUACGUCCCCUGGAGCUGAACUUAUCUGACUCAAACUAGGAAGUGCAUCCUAGGGAUGCAAUCUCAAUUUAGAAAGUGCGCCUCCUAAAAGUAUAUCCUGAAAGACCUAGACUAGGAAGUGCGUCUCCUAGGGGUAAGACUCAAAUGACUCAAACUAGGAAGUGUGUCUCCUAGGAGUAAGACUCGACUGACUCAAACUAGGAAGUACGUAUCCUAGGGAUGAAAUCUCAAUUUAUGAAGUGCGACUCCUAAAACAAAAAUAUAACUUGAAAGACCUAGACUAGGAAGUGCGUCUCCUACGAGUGNNNNNNNNNNNNNNNNNNNNNNNNNNNNNNNNNNNNNNNNNNNNNNNNNNNNNNNNNNNNNNNNNNNNNNNNNNNNNNNNNNNNNNNNNNNNNNNNNNNNNNNNNNNNNNNNNNNNNNNNNNNNNNNNNNNNNNNNNNNNNNNNNNNNNNNNNNNNNNNNNNNNNNNNNNNNNNNNNNNNNNNNNNNNNNNNNNNNNNNNNNNNNNNNNNNNNNNNNNNNNNNNNNNNNNNNNNNNNNNNNNNNNNNNNNNNNNNNNNNNNNNNNNNNNNNNNNNNNNNNNNNNNNNNNNNNNNNNNNNNNNNNNNNNNNNNNNNNNNNNNNNNNNNNNNNNNNNNNNNNNNNNNNNNNNNNNNNNNNNNNNNNNNNNNNNNNNNNNNNNNNNNNNNNNNNNNNNNNNNNNNNNNNNNNNNNNNNNNNNNNNNNNNNNNNNNNNNNNNNNNNNNNNNNNNNNNNNNNNNNNNNNNNNNNNNNNNNNNNNNNNNNNNNNNNNNNNNNNNNNNNNNNNNNNNNNNNNNNNNNNNNNNNNNNNNNNNNNNNNNNNNNNNNNNNNNNNNNNNNNNNNNNNNNNNNNNNNNNNNNNNNNNNNNNNNNNNNNNNNNNNNNNNNNNNNNNNNNNNNNNNNNNNNNNNNNNNNNNNNNNNNNNNNNNNNNNNNNNNNNNNNNNNNNNNNNNNNNNNNNNNNNNNNNGGUGAAAUCACAAUUUUAGGAAGUACGUCUCCUAAAAGUAUAUCCUGAAAAACCCAGACUAGGAAGUGCAUCUCCUAGGGAUGAAAUAUCAAUUUAGUAAGUACGUCUCCUAAAUGUAUAUCCUGAAAGACCGAGACUAGGAAAUGCGUCUCCUAGGAGUGGAACUUCAAUGACUCAAACUAGGAAGUGCGUCUCCUAAGAGAAAAUAUAACUUGAAAGAGCAGACUAGGAGGUACGUCUCCUAGGGGCGAAACUUUAAUGACUCAAAUUAGGAAGUGCAUCUCCUAGGAAUGAAUUUAAAUGACCAAAGCUAGGAAGUGCGUCGCCUAAAAAGUAUAAUCUGAAAGAUCCAAACUAGAAAGUGCGUCUCCUAGGGGUAAAACCUUAGACUCAAACUUAAAUGACCCAAACUAGGAAGUGCGUUGAUAACUAGGGAUUCUAAGUUUUGGAUUAAAAGUUUGUACAAGUAUUCCCGAAAACUAAUUUAUUGUGCUUGUUUGCAUUUUUUAGUCAAUAAGAGACAAGGAAGUCAUAACCAGCUCAAAAAGGAGUGAAACCUGCACAAGUUCAAAAGCUGGGUUAAACGAGCAUUGACAGCGAAGAAACAAGUGCGGACGCGGGGAGUCCACCGCUGAGGCGGUCUUGAUUUCGCUCUCAGCAGUGGCAAGGUUUAGAGAUCUACAAUUUUGGGCUUAACAAGUCACUGCUGACUGUGGUGAUUUUGCGCGGCAGCGGUGACUUCAGUGUGUUUGCGGUGCAUUUACCGCCCUCAGCGAAAGCCAGUUUCAGAGGACCAAGAAUGGAGCUAAAGUUUGAAGACUGCGGUCCGCGCUUGAUUUUGUGCGGCCGUGGUAGUCUCAGCGCUGCAGCGGUCCAUUUUCCCCUAUCAGCGGUACCUCUGUAGGGGCAUUUUUGUCUAAAAAAUUUAGUUGUGUAUAAAUAGUUCUUUUUCAGAUUUUUAGGGCAUCUGUUAUUUAGCUGAGCACGUUAACCACCUCUUUUUACCUUUUUGAGUAAUUUUAGAGCUUGUUUAACAAUUAAUCUUAGAUUCUUAUCUUGUAAUUACUUUUUAUGUCUUCUAUUUCAUCUCAAUCUAUGAUUUCUUAUUUGAUUAUGAGUAGUUAAACCCCUUAGCUAGGGUUGUGGCUUAACCAUAGUAUGGGUAUAUAAUGAGUCUUCUAUUUUAGGGCUUAAAUAUUUAUGAGUGAUUGAUAUUUGGCCUGAUUUAUGCUUAAAAUGUUAAAUUGGUGGUUGCAAACACUAAUUUGUGCCUUUUUGACUUAGGCUCUUCUUGAGAAAGAGAGUAUACGUCUAGGAAAUUCAGGACAACAAGGAAUUGGGGUGCAUUCAAGAGAUUGAUAGCCUCAAUUAAAGGGUUAAACCUAGAGAUAGUAAUACCCGACUUGAGCCAAUUUUGCUUGCAUUGUUUGAACACCCAAUUGGGCUUGAGAAAGCCAAUUAGGGCAAAGUCACUCAAACUACCGAGAGGUAUAGAGUGAGUAGUUACGUGCAAUGGCUAUAUCAUGAUCCCAACUAUAACAAAUUUGCCCUAAGUUUUAGAUCUCUUUAGACACUCACCUAGGAGUAAGUCACUUCCCUAGUGCCUUUCUACCAAUUAAGAAAACUCCAUACAAAAAUAUCAUACUUAUUUUAAUUUCCUGUAUCAUUAGUAUUAAAUUAGAGUAGUAAAAAAAUAAAGAAUGAUUGGAAGUGCAAUCAAGAACACUGCGUAUUGCUAGAUUAGAUAGGAAUCCAACUCCAAACAUAUCUUAGCUCCCUGCGGAUUCGAUCCCGACCUUUUCGGGUAAAAGCUGCAUUGACCGCUCUUGCCACUCUAUAGUGGUGUAGGGUUAGAAUCGAUCACCUUUUGGCGCCAUUGCUGGGGAGAUAAAUGGUUUUUGGCUAUCUAUCUGAUCAAUUUUGUGUAUUGUUUUUCUUUCCUUCUGUGUUACUAACUUGUGUGUGUCAUCAAUUCAGAUACAAAAUGGCAAACAAUGAUCCUCUUGGAAAUAUUCUGCCGAGGGAGAAGGUAGAUGAUAAUGGUGAAGAUGAGGUGCCUCUAGUACCUCAAGGUCAAAGAAAAGGCCGCUAGACUAAUGACAAUGUUCCAGACCCUCCCCCGCCUCCUUCAAGAGUCACUCCUCAGGUGCUUCCAAAUGAAGGAUACACAAGUGCAAUUGUCCCACCCCGAAUCCAGGCAGGUAAUUUUCAAAUUACAAAUGUGAUGUUGACUUUAUUGGAGCAGUAAGGGUACUUCGUUGGUGCUCCCCGUCAGAAUGCAUAUAAACAUAUUAAAGGCUUUGUGGAUACCUGCUGGGGAAGCAAACAGAUCAUUGUGUCGGAGGAUGCAUUGAGAUUGAGAUUAUUCCCUUUUCACUCAGAGGGAAAGCUUUGGACUGGUUUGAAAGGCUUCCCAACCAUUCCACCACUACGUGGGAUGAGAUGGCUGACAAGUUUAUAGCUAAGUUUUUCUUGCCAGGGCAUAUGACAACUUUGAGAGAUGAGAUUUUGGCCUUCAAACAGGAACCUAAUGAACCACUUCAUAAGAUCUAGGAGAGAUAUCGGACAAUGGUGAAAGAAUGUCCGAAUAAUGACAUGACCAAAGCAAUGAUCCAGCAGACAUUCUACUGUGGCAUUAACACGGCCAAUCAGUGUGUAGUUAACCAGCUAGCAGGGGGAAAUUUUAUGAACACGCCUUAUGUUGAGGCGUGUGAGAUAUUGGAUGAGAUGAAAGAUAUUUCCUCAGCUUGGCAAAGUCGAGCUAAUGUGCCACAGGGUGAUCCGACUGUCAUUCACUUGCACAAAGAGCUCCAUGACCAUGGCUAGGCAAUAAUAGAGUUAACUACAACAAUGAACCAGUUGGCAAAAGCUCAAUUGCAACAAGUUCAAGCGACGAGGCAAGUAAAUGCUAUGGAAGUGUCAACGUGUUGGUCAACAAGAGGUGACAAAGAGGUCAACAAGGUCAAGGUAGUCCGGAUCAAUAUGAGCAGGGUAGUGGUGGUUUCAACUAAGAUGAUGAAUAUGAUGAGCAAAGUGAAGAAGUGCAGUACGAGAACAAUUAUCAAGGCCAAAGGGGCAGUGCUCCUAACCAACAACAUUAGAAAUCCCAAGGAAAUUGGGGGAAUCAAAACCAACAAGGAAAUAGCAACUGGGGGAACAACAAUUAGAAUUGGGGAAAUCAGAACAACCAGGGCAACUGGAGUGGAAACAAAAACAACUGGGGAGGAACGAACAACCAAGGGGGUUGGAAUAAUAGCAAUAAAGGGAAUCGAGGGCAAGGCUUUCAAAGACCUCCGAUGUAUCAACAACCAAACAACCCGCCUCCAUUUCCGUCCCAAGGUCCUAGCUCGUCAAACAAUGAGAUGGGAAGGAUCGAGAUGAUGUUUCAACAAAUGAUGAAAAAGAAUAUCGACUCUGAUGCCCAGUUGGAAUCCUAUAAUGCUUCAAUCCGAAAUUUGGAGGUUCAACUUGGCCAGAUUUUGCAAAUUUUGAAUACUCGCACUAAGGGGGCUCUACCUAGUGAUACUGUAGUAAACCCGAAGGGUGAGAACAACAUCGGGCAUGCAAUGGCAGUGAUUACUAUAAGCGGUCAAGGUGGUGAUGUAAAUACCUCCAAGCAAAAGGAAAUUGUGAGUGAUGAGGUUGAAGUACAAGAUGAUGAUGUUCCUAUAGUUGAUGAGCAAGUGAGUGAAGAGAAUUUGAAUGCAGAAGUAAGAAUUGAUAUUCAUGAUAAUGAGGUGGAGACUCAAAAUGACGUGAACCCGUCUAGGGAACAUGUAAUAGACAUACCGGAAAUGGUAGCGCCCAAGGCUAAGGCUCCCUUGCCAAGGCCUUCUCCACCUUACCCUCAAAGGCUUGCGAAGCAAAAGAAUGAAAACCAAUUUAAGAAGUUUAUUGAGAUGAUGAAAAGCUUGUCGAUCAGUGUUCCUUUGGUGGAAGCUCUUGAACUAAUGCCAGGUUACGCCAAGUUCAUGAAAGACUUGGUGACUAAAAAGAGAUCCAUGGAUUGUGAGACCAUUAAAAUGACUCAUCAAGUAAGUGCAAUUGUGCACUCGAUGGCUCCAAAGCUUGAAGAUCCCGGCACUUUCACCAUGCCAUGUACCAUUGGGAGUGCGGAUUUUGCAAAGGCAUUGUGUGAUUUGGGAGCAAGUAUCAAUUUGAUGCAUUACUCCGUGUUCAAAACUUUGGGUAUUGAUCAACCGAGAGCUACUUCAAUGAGAUUGCAAAUGGCGGAUAGAACAAUGAAGAGGUCGCUUGGUAUUAUUGAUGAUGUUCUUGUCCGGGUGGACAAGUUUAUCUUGCCUGCUAAUUUUGUGAUUUUGGACUGCGAGGUCGAUUAUGAGGUGCCGAUUAUAUUGGGUAGUCCUUUCCUUGCAACUGAGAAGGCAUUGGUUUAUGUGGAAGCAGAUGACCUCACCUUCCGGGUGGGUGAUGAAAAAGUAGUCUUUCAUGUGUGCAAAUCAAUGAAGCAACCGAAUAGUACUGAAGUGUGCUAUUUUGUGGAUCUUGUCACGGAGGUGAUAGUUGAUGAUACUAGUGCCAUGAUCAAUAUGGAUGAUCCAUUGGAAGCGGUAUUGUUGAACCUUGAUGUGAAUGAGGAUGAAGGUCGGGUAGAGUGUGUCAAUGCUUUGCACGGAAUGGGCUCUUAUUCUUAUGAGCCCUGUAAGCUCUCUUUGGUUCUUGAGAACAGAAAGACUCCACCAACAAAGCCCUCAAUUAAGGAACCUCCCAUUUUGGAGUUGAAGCCUUUUCCCUCACAUCUCAGUUAUGAAUUCUUCUUGAGAACAGACAAACUCCACCAACAAAGCCCUCAAUUGAGGAACCUCCCAUUUUGGAGUUGAAGCCUUUUCCCUCACAUCACAGUUAUGAAUUCUUAGGCCCUAGUUCAACUUUACCUGUUAUUCUUUCAUCUUGUCUUACUAAUGUGCAGGUAGAUGCAGCACUGAAGAUGCUCCAAAUAAGAAAGAAGUCAAUUGGAUGGACUCUAGCUAAUAUUCAGGGAAUAACCGCCUUUUGCAUGUACAAGAUUAUACUCAAAGAUGAUGCCAAGCCCUCCAUGGAACAUCAAAGGAGGUUGAACGAGACUAUGCAAGAGGUUGUCAAAAAGGAGGUGAUCAAGUGGUUAGAUGCAGGGGUUGUGUACCCCAUCUCAGAUACUUCUUGGACUUCGUCGGUGUAAUGUGUGUCGAAGAAGGGUGGUAUGCCUGUGGUUACCAAUGAACAAAAUGAGUUGAUUCCCACCAGGACUGUCACCAGAUGGAGGGUGUGCAUGGACUACCGCAAGGUGAAUAAAGUGACCCGCAAGGAUCAUUUUCCAUUGCCCUUUCUUGACCAAAUGCUAGAUAGACUUGAUGGGUGUGCCUUCUACUGUUUCUUGGAUGGGUACUCAGGUUACAACCAGAUUUUGAUUGCUCCGGAAGAUCAGGAGAAAAAAACCUUCACGUGUUCGUAUGGCACCUUUGCAUUUUCUAGGAUGCCAUUUGGUUUGUGUAAUGCACCGGCUACCUUCUAGCAGUGUAUGAUGGCUAUAUUUACCGAAAUGGUGGAGGACUUCUUGGAAGUGUUCAUGGAUGAUUUCAGUGUUGUGGGCAACUCCUUUGAUGAGUGUUUGAAGAAUCUUGACAAAGUGUUGUCCCGGUGUAAAAAGACAAAUCCUGUGCUUAACUNNNNNNNNNNNNNNNNNNNNNNNNNGCACAAUAUAGAAGUGGACAAGGCUAAAAUUGAAGUGAUCUUAAAGCUUCCUCCUCCUACUUCAGUCAAGGGGGAUAGGAGUUUUCUUAGGCAUGUGGGGUUCUACCGAAGAUUCGUCAAAGACUUUUCUAAGGUAGUGAAUCCUUUGUGCAAAUUAUUGGAAAAGGAUGCUAAGUUCGUGUUUAAUGAGGAAUGUAUGAAAGCUUUUGAACUUCUUAAGUGCAAAUUGACAACCACUCCCAUUGUUACCGCACCCAAUUGGAGCUUACCUUUUGAGCUCAUGUGUGACACAAGUGAUGUUGCGGUAGGAGAAGUCUUGGGUCAAAGAGUAAACAAAAUGUUUCACCUGGUGUAUUAUGCAAGCAAAAUUAUGAAUGAUGCUCAAGUGAAUUACACGAUGAUGGAAAAAGAGUUGCUAGCAAUUAUGUUUGCAAUGGAAAAGUUUAGGCCUUAUCUCAUGGGGGCCAAGGUGAUAAUUCAUACUGACCAUGCAGAACUCCGCUACUUGAUGACAAAGAAGGAUUCUAAGGCUCGGUUGAUGAGAUGGGUUCUAUUGCUUCAAGAGUUUGACCUUGAGAUUGUUGACCGGAAAUGGAGUGAAAACCAAGUGGCGAACCACUUGUCCCGCUUGGAGGAGGAGGGGAGGCCCGGUGAUGGCCUCGAAAUUAAUGAUUCAUUCCCUGAUGAGCAACUCCUCUCCAUAUCUGUGAAUAGCAUGCCUCGGUUCGCGAAUGUUGCCAACUUUCUUGUGACUACUAUUGUUCUGUGUGAGCUCUCUUCUAACUAAAGGAAGAAGCUUAAACGGGAUAGCUUGGACUACUACUGGGAUGAUCCCUACUUGUUCAAAAUCUGUAAUGACGAUGUGAUCUGGAGAUGUGUUCCAGAAGAGGAGCAAAUGAGUAUUCUGGAUGCUUGUCAUUCCUAUCCCUACGGUGGUCAUUAUGGUGGGGCGAGGACAACUUCAAAGGUGCUUAGCUGUGGUUUUUAUUGGCUGAGUGUGAGCACGUGAAUUUUUCCAUAUAUGAAAUACUCCUACAAAUUAAAAGAAGUAAUUUUUUCCCAAUUAUUUGCAAUUUUAUAGGAUUUUUGGUAGGAUUUUUUUGUUAUUUAUUUUCAUCUUUGUGCAUGUUUACUUUUGUUAAAAUCACAAAAACAAUACAAAAAAUACAGUACGUUGCAUUUAGAUUUUGUUUUCAUGUCUUUAGGAUUAAUUAGUUAAUUCAUUGUUUUACUGAAAGGAAAAUCACAAAAUUAGCUGAUUUUUACAUUUAUUGUUUUUAAUUCUUAAAUUAGUAAUUUUUCUCCUUUUAGUUAGGAUCAAGUAAUUGUUUAAAUUUUUAGUUAGAUAAUUAGUGUAACUUUACGAUUUAGAUAAUUUAGGAAUUUAAUUUAGAAUUUUAUUAAUUAAAGAAAAAAAGGGGCAAACAAACAAAAAAAAAGAAAAAAAGAAAAGAAAAAGGGAAUUAAAUAAAAAACAAGAAGGAGCUGCCUUAACUUGGGCCAAAUGCUGAAGCCCAAGCUUUUUAACCCAAGACCCGCCCCAAAAUCUCCUCUGAUCCAGGCCCAAAUCGGAACACUCGGUCCAACCUUACCCCAUACCAAACGACCCCAUUUUGGUGCCCUUAUCAUCACAGCCGUUGAUCUUACGUGAACCAACAACUGUGAAUUAGGCACCAGUGUUAUAUUUAAUUGUCCAAACACAAACCUCCCCCCCCCCCAAACCCUAACUCACAACCCAUUUCGUCUCUCUCUCUCUCAUCUCGUUGAACCCAAGCCGCCCCUAAAACCUCCAUCAACCAACCGCAUUCCAACCCCACCAAACGGCUUCCAAAUCCGCUUAAAUCCACACCCCAUAUUGUUCAUGCCCACCUCACUACCGAGCCACCCAUUAAACUCCUGAAAAAGCAAACCAAUUGCUCUUAAUUUCAGAUCUAGAGAUUCCAGAAUUAGCCAUAUUUUUCCCUUUUCGAUUUUCUUCAUAAAUCCGACUCAUUUUGACUAAAAACAUAUGUUAAUAGACUGAUAUUUACAAGAGCAAUCGAUUGACGGUAGUUGUUAGUCACUUCGAGACCGCCGGAUUUGGGUAACUUGUCGGAUUUCUGCCGAAAUUCAUCAUUUGUAUCUUUCUUGGGGCAGGUUUGGGGUAAGAGCUCUCACAAUUCGUCUUUUUAUCAUUAUCUUAGCUUGCAUGAUUCUGAUUUGUAGAUUAAUUUAGGGUUAAGUUUCAUGUUUAUUUAUUAAAAUUUGUUUGAAUUCUCAGUUCAAUGGCUGAAUUAGUCAUCCUUAGCAAUUUCUUGUCGAUGUUUGUUCAUGUUGUUCCUCAACUUGAUUCAUGACAAAAUUAGUUAGGGUUGGGAGUAAUUCAGGAUUUAAUUUCACAAGUAUUUAUUGUUUUUUUCUUAUUAUUGAUUCGUGCCCAGUUUGUUUUGUUUGUCGGUUUUGUUUUGUGGACAAAUUAAACUUGUGAGGAGUAAAAGGGUUCGAAAUAGUAACUUAAGGGGGGGUAAUUUGGGGUUUAGAAAUGAGGGUUUCAGAUAAGGUAUCUAGAGGGUUCUGGAGCAUGGACAGCUAGCUUUAUCCUACCAGUACAAGUUGCUGAAGCCAAUUAGAAAUGGCCAGAUGUUCAAUUGUUGUUAAAAAGAUGCUUUAUGAGGGGUGUUUUCAAGAAAAUUAUUCCUUGGUUGUGAAGGGACACGAUAGAUUUUUGGGGUAUAAAUAAAGUCUUCUCCUCACUGAAUGGAACACGGAAUAGACUCUAGAAAAUAUCUUUCUGAAAAUUCAGUUUACUUUUUUCAUCAUUUUUUUUAGUUUUCUGCUUUGGACCUCAAGUUUUAGAGUAGUUUUUCCUUGAUAUUCUCGGGGUUCUAAUAUCUAAAAUGGCUAGAAUCUGAAGUCUUUCCAUAUUAGCUAUCAAGUUUUAUUUUCUGGGUUUUUGAAGAGGGUUUUGGAAGCCUUUCCCACUGACCCAACAUUCCCUCUUGUCAAGCAGAAGUUAAGAAAGUUCAAAACUGACAUGUGUGUGAAGAUCAAGGAGGAAAUCGCAAAGCAGUUGGACGCAAAGGUCAUUCGAGUCACGCGAUACCCCAUUUGGUUUGCUAAUGUUGUGCCAGUGCCAAAGAAGACGGCAAGACCAGGGCGUGCAUUGAUUAUUGCCAUCUCAACAAAGCAAGUCCAAAGGAUAAUUUUCCAUUGCCAAAUAUCCACAUUUUAAUUGACAACUGUGCCAAGCAUGAGAUCGGUUCUUUUGUGGAUUGCUAUGCGGGGUACCACCAGAUCUUGAAGGAUGAGGAGGAUGCAAAAAAGACAGCAUUCAUCACAUUAUGGGGAACUUAUUGCUACCGGGUAAUGCCAUUUGGUUUGAAAAAUACUGGGGCAACUUAUAUGAGGGCGAUGACUACUGUGUUCCAUGACAUGAUACACAAGGAGAUUGAGGUUUAUGUGAAUGAUAUGAUCAUAAAGUCAAAGCAACAGGCCGACCAUGUUGGAGAUUUGAGGAAGUUUUUCUAAAGGCUCCGCAGGUACAAUUUUAAGCUUAACCCUGCCAAGUGUGCAUUUGGUGUUCCAUUUGGAAAACUGUUGGGAUUCAUAGUUAGUCGUCGAGGCAUUGAGUUGGACCCGUCAAAAAUCAAAGUUAUUCAAGAAUUGCCACCUCCAAGGAAUAAGGCUGAGGUGAUGAGUCUGCUUGGGUGUUUAAUCUACAUCAGCAGGUUUAUUGCUCAAUUGACGACAACUUGUGAGCCCAUCUUCAAGUUGCUGAAAAAGGAUGUUGCGGUCAAAUGGACUAAUGAAUGCCAGGAGGCAUUUGAUAAAAUCAAAGGGUACUUGUCAAACCCACCUGUGUUGGUCCUACCGGAACUCGGGAGGCCUUUAAUUCUUUAUUUGAUAGUCCUAGACAAUUCAUUUGGCUGCGUGUUGGGUCAACAUGACAUUACUGGCAGGAAGGAGCAAGCCAUCUAUUAUCUUAGCAAGAAGUUCACAUCUUAUGAGGUUAAGUAUACUCCCCUUAAAAAGACAUGUUGAGCCCUGAGUUGGGUGGCACAAAAGUUGAAGCAUUACCUGUCAUCCUAUACUACUUACCUCAUUUCUCGCCUGGAUCCUCUAAAGUAUAUUUUUCAGAAGCCUAUGCCCACAGGGAGACUUGCAAAGUGGAAGAUUUUGCUCACAGAAAUUGACAUUAUCUAUGUGACUCGGACCUCAAUGAAAGCCCAAGCAUUGGACGAUAAUUUGGCCGAGAAUCCGGUGGAUGAAGAGUACGAACCAUUGAGAACUUAUUUUCCCAAUGAAGAGGUGAUGCAUAUUGACGAGGCGGAGCAGGUUGAAAAACUAGGUUGGAAACUUUUCUUUGAUGGAGCCACUAAUAUGAAAUGUGUCGGAAUAGGGGUUGUGCUUAUUUCUAAAACAGGGCAUCACUACCCUGUUACAGCCCAACUUCGUCUCUAUUGUACCAACAACAUGGUUGAGUACGAGGCAUGCUUUUUAGGAUUGAGGUUAGUAGUAGAUAUGGGGGUUUAGGAAGUCUUGGUCUUGGGAGACUCGGAUCUUUUGGUGCACUAGAUUCAAGGAGAAUGGGAGACUCGGGAUUUAAAGCUCAUACCAUAUCGGCAAUGUUUGCAUAAUCUUUGUCAACGGUUCUGAUCAAUAAAAUUCAGGCAUAUUCCAAGGAUCCAUAAUGAGGUUGUCGAUGCUUUGGCUACCUUGGCAUCAAUGUUGAACCAUCCAGACAAAGCCUAUGUUGACCCUCUGCAUAUUCAAGUUCGUGAUCAGCAUGCCUGUUGUAAUGUGGUUGAGGAAGAACUUGACGGUGAACCGUGGUUCCAUGAUAUUAGGGAAUACAUUAGGAUAUGGGUAUAUCUGGUACAAGCCACAAGUGAUCAAAAGAGAACAAUUCGGCGUUUGGCUAGUGGAUUUUUCUUGAGCGGGGGAAUUUUGUACAAAAGAACUCUAGAUGUUGGGUUGUUGAGGUGCAUAGACGCUAAGAAAGCCACAACUAUCAUGACCAAAGUGCAUUCUGGAGUUUGCGGGCCGCAUAUGAGUGGGUUUCUGGCAAAGAAAAUUCUUAGAGCAAGGUAUUACUUACUCACCAUGGAACAAGAUUGCAUCAGCUUUGUGCGCAAGUGUCAUCAAUAUCAGGUACACGAAGACUUGAUCCAUUCUCCGCUCUCUGAGUUGCAUACAAUGUCCGCACUGUGGCCCUUUGUUGCUUGGGGCAUGGAUGUCAUUGGACCAAUUGAGCCCGCGGCAUUAAAUGGGCACAGGUUCAUUCUGGUGGCCAUCGAUUAUUUCACUAAGUGGGUUGAAGCUAAGACUUUCAAAUCUGUGACCAAGAAGGCAGUGGUCAAUUUUGUUUAUUCAAAUAUCAUUUGUCGGUUUGGAAUCCCAAGGGUAAUCAUCACGGAUAAUGGUUCUAAUCUUAACAGUCAUUUGAUGAAAGAAGUAUGCCAACAGUUCAAGAUUACGCAUCAAAAUUCCACCCCGUAUUGCCCCAAGGAUAAUAGAGCAGUCAAGGCAGCCAACAAGAACAUAAAGAAGAUACUUCGGAAAAUGGUGCAAGAUUCCAAGAAAUGGCAUGAAAAGUUGCCCUUUGCUUUGCUGGGAUAUCGCACUACUGUUCGCACUUUAGUAGGUGCAAUUCCUUAUUGCUGGUAUAUGGUACUGAAGCAGUGAUACCCACGGAAGUUGAAAUUCCAUCCCUUCGGAUUGUUGCUGAAGCCGAACUUGAUGAUGAUGAGUGGGUCAUAACCCGUUUGGAGCAAUUAAGUCUGAUUGACGAGAAAAGACAGGCAGCAGUGUGUCAUGGCUUGUUGUACCAAAAGAGAAUGGCAAGAGCAUACAACAAAAAGGUGCAUCCCAGGAAAUUUGAAGUGGGUUAGCAAGUAUUGAAACGCAUCCAUCCACAUCAAGCUUAAGCGGAAGGCAAGUUCGCCCCAAAUUGGCAGGGGUCGUUCGUGGUAACGAAAGUGUUGUCCAUUGGUGCUUUGUAUUUAACAGAUAUAGAAGGCAAAUGUGUAGAUAUGGCUAUUAAUUCUGAUGCAGUCAAAAGAUAUUAUGUAUGAUUUCUUUGGUUUAAAUUGUGUUGUUUGUACUUGGCAUGUUUUGAAGAUUGGAAUGACGAAGGCAUUUUANNNNNNNNNNNNNNNNNNNNNNNNNNNNNNNNNNNNNNNNNNNNNNNNNNNNNNNNNNNNNNNNNNNNNNNNNNNNNNNNNNNNNNNNNNNNNNNNNNNNNNNNNNNNNNNNNNNNNNNNNNNNNNNNNNNNNNNNNNNNNNNNNNNNNNNNNNNNNNNNNNNNNNNNNNNNNNNNNNNNNNNNNNNNNNNNNNNNNNNNNNNNNNNNNNNNNNNNNNNNNNNNNNNNNNNNNNNNNNNNNNNNNNNNNNNNNNNNNNNNNNNNNNNNNNNNNNNNNNNNNNNNNNNNNNNNNNNNNNNNNNNNNNNNNNNNNNNNNNNNNNNNNNNNNNNNNNNNNNNNNNNNNNNNNNNNNNNNNNNNNNNNNNNNNNNNNNNNNNNNNNNNNNNNNNNNNNNNNNNNNNNNNNNNNNNNNNNNNNNNNNNNNNNNNNAAAAGUAACAACAACAAAGCAAUUCCUAUGACAUGAACUACGUUUGACCUGAUUUCUUUUAAGGAUAAGUAGGCAGCCUCACGGUUCUGUCCCAUCAAAAUAAAAACUCAAAAGUCCCCAGGCAAAGAAACUGGGGCAGAAGUUGUGGUUCCGUAAAAGAUCUGAUUCCAAAAGUUGUAAUUUUGAACACAUUCAAGUUGUUUUGAGCCUUUAUCCAUUAUUUCUAACCCCAUCUAAAAACCCACAUUGCAGUCCAAAGAAAGACUUUCCGAUUAAUAUUUGAGAAUGCCAAGUCAAGCGAGGUAGAGGUACAAUUCGCAUCAGGGGCAACACUCCGUCCUGCACAAGGAAAAUGAGCAAAUGAGAGAAUCCUAUUGGUGAAAACCCUCGUGAGCAUUGUAGGGCGAUGGAAAGAUGAGAGAAAUCAAAAUGAAAGAGUCUUAUCGGUGAAAACCUUCACAGGCACCGUAAGGCGAUAGUGAGUUGAGAGAUGAACAAAUGAGAGAGGUUUGUCGGUGAAAACCCUUCAGGGCGCCUCUAGCCGAACAAGGUUGGUGACUUUGCAAAGAGAUUGGAAUAUGGAAAUACCGGGGCAUAAAGUAUGACAACUGAAAGGUGAUUGGUUGAAUAGGCUGGGCUGAUUAAUCCGAAAUGCAUGUCAUGAUCAUUGGUGCCAGUCGCCUCACUCAAAUAAGUCUCUUUUCCUUUUCUCCCCCAGACAAUCAUCUUGUUUCGAAUUUUCUUCUUUAUUCCUAACUCUCGAAGUCAUUGCAUUUCAUUUCUUUUGGGUUUAUUUCUUUAAGGUUUUUCCAAUGUCAGCCUUGUUUAAGCAAGUAAGAAAGGAUUUCAAAGCUUACUACUAACUUCCAAAUUGCACAAAGCAAAGUGUGGCCAAAACAUACCAGAAAUAGCACAAUGCAAAAAUGCAAAAUAAGGUGUUAGUGAAAGUUUAAGUGGUCGAGUGGUUUGUGAAUUUUGUGGAAGAUGCAGAGGUUCAAAUUGGAAGGGCAAAAAUGUAAAACAGCGGGUUGAGUGCAGGUCACUCGGGUCAUUCAGUGUCCUGUGGGUGAGAUUCAGUCAAAAAGUCAAAUAAUUCUUUGUUAGUCCAAGGCAGCCAGUCAAAACAAAGCACGACAGUGUAAAGGUCACCAUCAGCAAGAAUGCCGCAAACUAACCACCACAUUUUCAAACUGAUGAAAUUUUCUUUGAUUGAAAUAAGGGCAAGAAAUUUCGAUUGUUCUGGAAGAACCCUCCAUGAGGAAAGCAUGUACCGGACAGGUUCAACCAUAAAUUUUUAGGACCCUCCUAGAUAAUGGAAUUUAGUUUGAAAUUUUUGGAGCCCUCCUGGAUAAUGGAAUUUAAUUUUAAAAGGUUCUCAAGACCCUCCUGGAUAAUGGGACUUAGUCGAAUUCCAAGACCUUCAUAGAUAACAAGAUUUAGCAUAAGCUCUACCUCUAGGAAAAAUAAACUAGCGUUGAAAUUUUGACUAUUAGAACAUGAUUUAAUUUUCAGGGCCCUCCUGAAUAAUGAGAUUUAGUUUUUAAAUUCUUAUAGUUCUUUUGAUAACAUGAUUCGAUUAACACUCACAGAUGUGCCUAGAUACCUAAUUGAUGCAGAAAAAUUUCUUUUGUUAUUUGUUUUGUUGUAAUCAGGCGCCCAUCUAGAAAACAAGGGAAUACAGUUCAAGUUUUAGCAAUCAGGCACCCACCGGGAGAACAAGGGAAUACAAUUUAAGUUUUAGCAAUCAAGCGCCCACUUGGAGAACAAGGGAAUAUAGUUCAAGUUUUGGCAAUCAGGCGUCCACCUGGAGAACAAGGGAAUACAGUUCAAGUUUUUGGCAAUCAGGCACCCACCUGGAGAACAAGGGAAUACAGUUCAUGUUUUUGGCAAUCAGGUACCCAACUAGAGAACAAGGGAAUACAGUUCAAGUUUUUAGCAAUCAGGCACCCACUUGGAGAACAAGGGAAUACAAUGGAAGUUUUGUAUGAUGACCCGGCCAGUUGUCUCAUGAGUUACCACUCUGUUUCCCCUAUUUUUUCUUCUUAUUUCUUUGUCUAUCGGUUCUAUAUGUGAUCGGGUUGGUUAGCUUGGGUUCAGAAAGGAUUUGGUAAGGUUUGAGACACUUAGUCUCUUUUGAAGAAGCUUAAGUUGGAAAAGUCAACCGGAUGUUGACUUAUGUGUUAGAAGGCUCGGAUGUGAGUUCACAUGGUUCGGUUAGCUUUAGUAGGUGAUUUGGGACUUAGGAGCGUGAUCGGAAUGAGUUUUGGAGGUCCGGAGUAGAUUUAGGCUUGAAUUGACGAAAUUGGAUUUUUGGCGAUUUCCAGUUGAUAGGUGGGAUUUUGAUAUAGGGGUCGGAAUAGAAUUUUGAGAGUUGCAGUAGUUCCGUUGUGUCAUUUGGUAUGUGUGUGCAAAAUUUCAGGUCAUUCGGACGUGGUUUGGUUGGGAUUUUUAUCAAACGCGUAAUUUAGAAGAUUUUGGAAUUCUUAGGCUUGAAUCUGAUGCGAAUUUGGUGUUUUGAUGUUGUUUUGAGCGUUCUGAAGGUUGGAACAAGUUUGAAUGAGGUUAUGGGAUAUAUUGGAAUGUUUGGUUGAGGUCCCGGGGGCCUCGAGUGAAUUUCCGAUGGUCAAUCGGACCAUUUCAAGAUGUUUGGAAUUGCAGAAAACUGUUGUGUGUUGUAGAGGAUUUAGACCUUCACGUUCGUGAGUGGGUCCUCGCGUUCGCGAAGGGUCAGUUGGUCAAGGCUGGGAUUUAAGCCUUUGCGUUCGCGAUGAAAGCUCCACGUUCGCAAAGGGCUGAGUAUUUGGUCAUCGCAUUCGCGUGAAGGGGACCGCGUUCGCAUAGAGGAAUUAGGCAGCUGAGCUUCAGGGUAUUUUAUUCAUCACGUUCGCUAGAGAGGUAACGUGAUCGCGAAGAGUGGUCUAAGGAAAGCAUCGUGUUCACGAUAAGAAGGUUGCGAUUGUGAAGAGGAAAUUUUGGUCAAAGUUGGUUUGUGCUUCGCGAACGCGAGGCAUUGACCGCGUUCGCGAAGAAGGAUUUCAGACCUGGGCAGAAUGUUUAAAUAGUCGCCUUGUCCGCGAUUUUGGAUUUAUUUUCACCAUUGUUGAGCGUUUUUGGAGUUGUUUUGAAGAGGAUUGAAGAGGAAUUCAAGGAGAAUCACUUAGAGGUAAGAUUGAUGGACUUAAUACUCGAUUAUAAUGUGAAAUCUACCUAAGUAAUCAUGGAAACUAAGCCUAAAAUGGAAGAACUAGGGCUUGAAAUUGGAGACCUAGAAAUUGGGAAUUGAGGGGUCAUUUAUGGUUGGAUUUUGAUGAUUUUGGUAUGUAUGAACUCGGGGAGUGAUAAGGAAUACAUUGAUGUGAUUUUUACCAGAAUUGGAGACGUGGGCUCGGGGGUCGGGUUUUGGUAAUUUCGAAAUUUAAGUUGUAAAUUGAAUAUUUUUGCUUGAGCUUCGUUCGCUUAGCAUAUUUUGACGCUGUGGUUCUGAUUUUGGAUAGAUUAGACGCGAGUGGAGGCCGAUUCGAAGGGCAAAGACAUCGCGGGCUAGAGUUUGGACCUGAUUGAGAUGAGUAAUGAUUGUAAAUGAUGUCCUAAGGGUAUGAAACCCCGGAUUUCACAUUGUUGUGCUAUAUUGAGGUGAUGCACACGCUUGAUGACGAGCGUGGGGUCGUGCACUAUUGGAAAUUGUUACUUAGUCCGUCCCGAAUGACUAUUUUACCGCGUAUUUGACUGAAACCUAUUUGUGAACAUCAUGUUUUGGGUUGAAUUCUAUAUUUGGGCCUUGUGCCAACUAUUUGAAUCCUUAGGGGAUUUGUAUUGAUAUUUCCUCAUUAUUUUGACUUUAUACUUGAACUCAGUCAUGUUAUAUUCCACUGUUUUCAUAACUUAGUCAUGUUUACUCUAUUUUAACACUUAAAUGAUAUUUUGGGCUUAGAAUCAUGUUUUACUAUUGUCCGAGUGGCUUGUGAGUAUUUUGACUGAGUAAGGCCGAGGCCUAUGUUGUGAGGAAACACUAACUAUAAUUAUGAGUCUGAGGGCCCGAGAUAUGUACGCCACGAGGUGGCUUGUUGAUAUGAGGCUGAGAGCCUAGUGAUGAUGCCAUGAGAUGGCUUGAUAUUGCGCUUGGGCCGUAAGGGGCCCCUCCAGGAGUCUGCACACCCCUAGAGAGCGUGGGUACCCAAUGUGAUGUGGGAGAUAGACCGAGGGGCUGGUGUUGUUCUAUGAUCUUGCCUGAGGGGCGAUCAUUUAUGUGUUUAUCUUUCCUAUCUGCCUGUUAUUUGCUUGCUUAAUUGUUAAAAAGGCAUUUUAUGAACUUUUAAACUUAACACAGUAAUUUUGCACAUCUUUACUAUUUCACUGUUUUACCGGCUUUUACUGCUUCCUUAUAGUCUAUAAUGUGCCUUACGUGGUUUUCUUGCUUUCGGUCUUAUUUAUGAUUAUUACUCACUGAUUUGGAGUACUCACUUUACUCCCUGCACCCUGUGUGCAGAUUCAGGCAUUGUUGAUCCUGCUUGCGAGAGUUGAGAGCUCCCUGCAGAUUUCGGAGUCACGAGGUAGCUGCUUGGCGUCCGCAGUCCCGUAUUUCUCUCCCUUUAUCUCAUUUCUUUUCCCUACUUAGUGACUUUGUAAUAGCUUGAUAGACUUUUCAGACUUUUGUUAUAAUUGAUAGAUGCUCAUGACUAGUGACUCCCUGGUAUCGGGCUGUGUUGGGUUUAUCUUCCGCCACUGUAUUAUUAACUACUUACUUUUGAAUUAUUUAUCAUGUUUUAAAGUUAAUUCUUAUUGUUUAAUUGCUUAAACUGAAAUGGGUAAGUGUCGGCUAGACUUGUCUUCACGAGAGGCGCUAUCACGACCGGGACUGGGUUUUGGGUCAUGACAUUUUGGUAAUCAGGCGCCCACCUGGAGAACAAGGGAAUACAAUUCAAGUUUUGAUAAUUAGGCGCCCACCUGGAGAAUAAGGGAAUGCAAUUCAAUUUUGGCAAUCGGGCGCCCACCUGGAGAACAAGGGAAUACAGUUCAAGCUUUCGGCAAUCAGGCGCCCACCUGGUUUUGGGGCCCCAUACCAAACGACCCCAUUUUGGGGCCCUUAUCAUCACAACCAUUGAUCUUAUGUGAUCCAACAGCUGUGAACUAGGCACUAGUGUUAUAUUUAAUUGUCCAAACACAAUCCCCCCCAAACCCUAACUCACAACCCACUUCGUCUCCCUCUCCCAUCUCGUUAAAUCCUAGCCGCCCGUAAAACCUCCAUCAACCAACUGUCGUUCCAACCCCGCCAAAUGACUUCCAAAUUCGCUUAAAUCCACACCCCAUAUUGUUCAUGCCCACCUCAUUGCCGAGACACCAUUAAACUCCUAAAAAAUCAAACAAAUUGCUCUUAAUUUCAGAUCUAGGGAUUCCAGAAUUAGCCCUAUUUUUCUCUUUUUCGAUUUUCUUUAUAAAUUAGACUCGAUUUGACUAAAAACUUACGGUAAUAGAUUGCUAUCUACAAGAGGAAUCGAUUGACGAUAGUUGUUAUCACUUCGGGACCGCCAGAUUUGGGUGACUCGUCGAAUUCCGGUCGAAAUUCAUCAUCUGUAUCUUUCUUGGGGUAGGUUUGGGGUAAGAGCUCUCACUAUUCGUCUUUUUAUCAUUAUCAUAGCUUGCAUGAUUCUGAUUUGUAGAUUAAUUUAGGGUUAGGUUUCAUGUUUUUUUUGUUAAAAUUUGCUUGAAUUCUCAGUUCAGUGGCUAAAUUAGUCAGCCUUAGCAAUUUCUUGUCGAUGUUUGUUCAUGAUGUUCCUCAAUUUGAUUCAUGACAAAAUUAGUUAGGGCUGGGAGUAAUUCAGGAUUUAAUUGCACAAAUAUUAAUUUUUUUUUCUUAUUAUUGAUUCGUGCCCAGUUUGUUUUGUUUGUCGGUUUUGUUUUGUGAACAAAUUAAUCUUGUGAGGAGUAAAAGGGUUCGAAACAGUAACUUAAGGGGGUAAUUUGGGGUUUAGAAAUGAGGGUUUCAGAUAAGGUAUCUAGAGGGUUCUGGAGCAUGGACAACUUGCUUUAUCCUGCCAGUAUAAGUUGCUGAAGCCAAUUAGAAAUGGCCAGUUGUCCAAUUGUUGUUAAAAAAUAUGCUUUGUGAGGGGUGUUUUCAAAAAAAUUAUUCCUUGGCUGUGAAGGGACACAACAGAUUUCUGGGGUAUAAAUACGACAUUCUCCUCACUGAAUGGGACAGGGAAUAGACUCUAUAAAAUAUCUUUCUGAAAAUUCAGUUUACUUUUUUCAGCAGUUUUUUUUUUGGUUUUCUGCUUUGGACCUCAAGUUUUGGAGUGGUUUUUCCUUGAUAUUCUUGGGUUUCUAAUCUCAAAAUUGCUAGAAUAUGAAGUCUUUCCAUCUUAGCUAUCAAGUUUUAUUUUCUGGGUUUUGGAAGAGGAAUUUCUUGAAGCUGUGUUGGAUUUCUGUUGGAUCUCCACUUGUUUUCAGACUUACACCUGCUUUAAUUUUGCUGAUUUUUCUACAUCUAGGUUUGUAAACUCUUACCUUAUUCCAUGUUGAUUCAAGGCAAUAAAAGGAUAAUGUGCUCUAUGUUAGAUUCGUUGUUGUAUUGUUGUAUAGUAGUAUGUUUAGUUUUCUGGUAAGGUCAAGUUAUCCUUGUUGAAAUUUGUAAGUAACUUGAAUGUUGAAAGUGUUUGGUUUAAGGUUAACCAUAUAACUUGUAAGUGGGGUGGGCAUAAAAUCCGAAAAAUCGAAUUCCGAACCGAACCAAAUUAAUUUGGUAUUUCGGUUUCGGUUUUUUUGGUUUUUUGGUCUAAUUCAGUACUGGAUUUUUGGUAUUUCGGUAUUUCGGUUCGGUUCUCGGUAUUACAACAACAAAAAUAAAAAGCAGUACACAUACCGAACUAGAGAGCGGCCUGCCAGAAUAGUUUAAGGUAUGGAAAAACGUCUUAUCAUCAAUCUGUUCAACUUCAAAGUCAAAACAAGGCUCUAGCUUUUGAUCACCAGGUAAAUACACUUCCCUAUUUCGUAUAAAAGAAGAUAUAGAUAAGAAAUAUAACAACAAACAUUAAGAAAAAAUGAAAACAGAAGUACAUGGAAACGAAUACGCACUCUCCCAAUUGCAUAUUUGCUUCAACAAAGUUUGAGAAUGCAGUCGUAAGCUUAAAAUCAACCGUCUCUGAAAUGUCAUUUACAAAUGUAAAUCUUCCUUUGAUAACCUUCGAGGAUCCCCCAACUGCACUAACACUAGAUUGCCAGUCAUUCAUAUACGGCGACUAUUUUACAGCCGUGGGGCGCCUUUUCCGUGUUAAAAUUGCAGGAGUAGUUUCAACAUCUGUUUGUAUCUGAACAAUAUUUCUUGAUACCGACUGAUCAGGUUUAGACUUAUUUACAGCACGAGUUGUCAGAUCAUUUCCAGAUUGAUUUACAUUACGUCUCCCUCCUUGUGUAAUGGCAGCAAUUAGAUCAAGUUGAGAAUCAGUAUAUUCAAAAUCAGAACCAAGUGAAGAUCACCCCUGUGUCGACAUGGAGCUUAAAUUAGAAAAUACUAGUGAAUAAAUAAAUAUACAAAGUUAAGAAAUUUAGAAAAAAAGAAUGAAAAGUUAUAUAUAGAAGACAUUACUAGAAGGCAAAUUCACAUUACUUCCACCAACAUCCACUUGACCAAUACCAUCAACCCGACAUGCUAAACACAUAAAAGCAUUAUCAACAUCACUACUUAAAUAAAAAAUAAAAAACUAUCAAGAACCUAUCAUUUACAUACUAACUACAGAAUUAGUAACAUCAACAUCGUACCCUGUAGAGCAGUAUUAGACUCAAUAACAACAUCUUCUCGUGUCUGUACAGGGAUUCCUGAUGGCAGCGGAGCAGGACCCGACUUUUUAACAUCAUGAGAUGACUGCUUAUAUGUUGCUUGUUAUGUAAUAGCGGUGAUUUGAUCAAUUGCAGAUAGUUCAAAGUUAGAAUCCAAGCCAAAAUCAUGCUCAUUUACGAAGGGGGCUGAAAAACGUUUUUUAAAAAAAGGUUAGUCAAUGCACAAAUACAUAGAGUUAAAUAAAUAAAAAAAUAAUCAAAAAUUAUAUAUACAACAUUUUACCAGAACGCAAAUCAUCAUCUUGUUGCUUGUGCUGAAAAUNNNNNNNNNNNNNNNNNNNNNNNNNAUCAGUGCACUCAACUUCAAUUUCAAAGCUUAGACCACGCACAUCAAAUUGUUUCUUCUCAUCAUCAGUUGGGGUGAUGUUCUUUAGCUGCAAUUAUUAAGCACACUAGUUAGAAAUAGAAAUGAUAAUAAAGUAUGAAAGAAAAAAGAUCCAUAUUAUCAUAUGAUACCAAUAUAGUAUACAUGUAUACCAACAGAGUAUAUCACUGAACUGGGAUAUAGUAUACAUGAUACCAAUAUAGUAUACAUGUAUACCAACAGAGUAUAUCACUAAAUUGGAAUAUUGCUACAACUGUGACUAAACUAGUGUGCCAAAACAUUAAGAGAGGCAAUAAAACUAUGAGAAAAUUACCUGCUUGCGUUGCAAGCUACACAUUUGCAAAGCAACUUGCUCAUUCGGGAUUUGACCCAUGACUACCCAUUUCAAAAUUCGUGGAAGUUUGUUGUUUCCAAGAUGAUCAGCAAAGUGACCAUCCAAACUUGGGCAGCAUUCAUACAACCAAGUCUGUAAAGCCAACGGGAAGCCACCAAGUCUAUAAAAAGAAGGCUUUAUCUUGAAACUUGUUGGAACACGAGUCAAUUGUAGCUUUAUAAACAUCUAUACCCCAGGGAUAAUUAUUAAAAUCACCAGACUCAACCAAGUCAAUGUAAGACCGUGAAAUAGCCUUUGUUUUGAGUUGAGAAAAUAAGAAGUUGUUGACAAAAUACAGAACUGCUAUCUUCAACGCAUCAUCAUCCGUUUCCCAUUUCUUUUUCUUAAAACAGUCUGCUAGUUGGGCAAAUGUCACGGAUGCAGUCCCAAAAUAUUUUGAAAUCAACCUAUUCUCUGCUAUGCUCUCUAUACUUGUAUCACCCUUACAUUUCAACCCAGUAACAAGUGCAAAUUCACCCAAGCCAAACCGCAACCUAGAAUCAUUCACUACAAACCGCAUCUCAUUUUUAACCUCAUGAUGUACUUCUCUCAUAAGCAAAUGGUGCAUAACACGAAUCUGCACAAUCAGUGGUGGCAGAUCCAAAAAAUAGCCAAAGCAUGUUUUCUUAAACAGUCGAAGUUGCCGCUUUGAUAAAUUCGCUUUCAAUUGAUGAAUAACAUGGCAAUUGGUAUCCUAAUCAACCUUUGGUUUAUAAUCUAAGUCAAUAGGCACAAGGAAAUCCCAACACUGCAAAACAUGUUCAUAUAAAAUAAUUUCAGAAAUAGAAUUCACUUAAAAUGCAACUCAACCAACUAAAAAUAUCACAACUACCAUACGAUACCAACACGACAUAUAAUUAUACCAGCAGGGUAUACAAUUAUACUGACUAAUUUCCGGCAACUACAAAUGACUAUACUACUAUUACAUAACAGAUAGGAAUAAAGAGAAAAAGCAAAAAGGAAUGCAGCUAUAAAGUAUUUUCAAGAUACUGUAUGAUACUACUAUUAUUAAAGGAAAAACAAAUAGCGAAGACAGCUAAAAAAAGAUCCAAAAGCAUAUGAUAGUAUAUAGCUAUACUAACAGGGUAAAUAGUUGUACGGGGUUGUUCCAACAAUUGUCUAUAACUAUAAAAACUAUCACAUAACACACAUACACUAUGUCUAUAGGCACAAAACUUCUAUGGGAAACAUCAUGCGUGCCAUUGCCACUGCAACAAAACACCAGUUACGCAACAAUCAGAUAAAGAACAUAAAUGCAAUUUUUUAGAAGAACUAUGUCAAAUAGCAUUGCCUCCCCCUUCCAGACUCAAGUACUAUGUCAAUCAUGUAACUGAGCACCUGGCAUCUUUUUUGUAUACUACUUAGCACCAAUUCAACAAAUCAUUUUCAUUAGAAAAUAAGUCAAUCAUGUCCUAACUUAUUACUUAAGGUUAAGGGAUUCUUCAGAUGUUUCAAAAGGGACAAUGGGUGUUAUUCAGAAAAUGCCCCAUACAUGAUCACUCUACCCCGAUGCCUGCCUAUAAUCAAUGCCAGUGGUGGUCACCAGCCAAGGCCGUUGGGCUUUUGCACAUUGACCCCAUCUAUACCAUGCCACCUAUAAAGAAAAGCUCAUUCUGCACACAUAACUUACACGGUCCCAUUCAUUCCAUACUUGCUUCUCCCCACCACUAUCAACUGGCUGAAAAUCAGAAAUCACACAAAGCAGCUCUGGCUUCAAUAAAUUUGGUUGACAACAACAGCUACUGAUUGACAACACUUGUGAAUCAGCGACCAUUUUUUUAAACCUCAAGCAGAACAUUAAUUUAAUCUGUCUAUUUAAUUCAAAAAAUUAACACAACUGACUAUAACUAUAAUAUAAUACAAAAGCAUAAUAAGAAAUCAAAAAAUAACAAUGUACUAUACAUUAAAAAUCGCAAAGAUCAUAAUUGUAAGAAAAUUACCUUCUUGGGUGCGACACCAAUUUUUCUUUUCUUUAACUGAGAAUCAUCGCUACAAUCAACAUCUACUGGUUGAGUCUCUGUUUCAGGCACGGAUUCACGUCGGCUUCCCCCUAACUCAGAAUCCUCAACAACUUUACCUUUUCCCUUAUCAGUCACAGGAACAUCUCCUUUGACUGGUUCGGAAUUUGUGUGGGGUAUUGACAGGUAGGGAGUUUCAUCGACUGACACGGCAUUAAUAUUUUUGCCUUUUCCACCCUCUAAUUCUACAUUUUCAGUUGUAUUUUCAACAUGACUACUGCUAGGGUUACGACUAAGUGGAGACUGAGAAUCAGAAAAUAAGGAAAAACUAGGCCCAGACAUGGCUGAGGCAACGGAUUCAGCAGCUACUUCUUUUGAAGAAUGAUAUUGCCCAAAGCGCCACCAUCUACGCGCACAACUCUUCCGACCCAUAGAGAAAACAACAACCCAUAGACAUUGAUUCACAAAAGUACAAAGGAAAAUAUAAAAAUCCUAUGAUUUUGAAAACCCACUUUCACUAAAAUGUACUUUCAGAAGCAAAAAAUUCACCCAAAGCAAAAAUGUCACCCAAAAUUAGGUACUAGACGAAGAGAUAGAACGGAAUCGGAAGAAAAAAAUUACAACUCGAAUGUGUUUCACUUUUGCGUUCUCAUCGAUUGGCUAUGGAGUUAUGGAAAGUGUACUCUGUUAACUGAUAGAGAAAGAAGGAAAACGUGGGAAUAAUGGGCAGAAUGGGCUGGAUCGAAGAUAAGGGAGAGAUGGGUAGAUUGGGCCGGGGCCGGGUAAAUAGAUUGGGCCGACUAGGUAGGCAGGGUAAAUAGUUUGGGGAUGGGUAUUAAAAGGUAAAUAGUUUGGGCUUAAUAGGUAUAAAGUGAGAUUUUCUCCUUAAUAAAAAUGGCCUAAUUGCUUAAUUUAAAACCUCAUUGCAAUUAAAUCCUUAUUCCCUUUUUCUUCUUUCUUUUUUUAAUUAAACACCCUAAAUUAAAAACCUAAAUUAAUUUAAAAAUGUAAAAUUAAACUAAUUACUUAAUUACAAAAAUUAUAAAAGUUACUUAAUCCUAAAUCAAAAGAAAAAAAUCAAUAAUCUAAAAAUAGAAAGGGAAAAAUGUAGAAAUGGGCCAUUUUGUGAUUUUUAUUUUUAAUAAAGCAAAUAAUUAAUUAAUUAAUCCUAAAAAUGUAAAAACAAACCUAAAUGCAAUGCAUGGUAUUUUUUGGCAUUUUUCAUGAUUUUUAAUAAAAUUAAACGUGCAUAGAAAUGUAAACAAUUAAUAAAAUUCUACAAAAAUUCCUAAAAUGGCAAAUAAUUAGGAAAAAAUGUAUUUUGUUGGGAUUUUAUAGGAGUAGUUCGCAUAAGGCAAAAAUCAUGUGCUCACACUGGUCAGGAUCACUUUAGGUGUGGUCUUGGACCUUUGUUUCGUAUGUUGGGCUCAAUCUCAGGGCCCAAACCGUGUCAUGCUUUUACAAUUAACGAUUUGAAGCUAGCAUAUAAUCAGUUCUGUUUCUAAACCAGAAUUCGUAAAAUUAAGGCAACUUUGUAAUGGAUUUGGUAGUUGUUCUUUUACUGGUAGUAUUCGAAAUCGAAAUGCAUUAACGAAUUUUCAGCUUAUCUUUUAGAUUGUCACGAUCUUCUUCCUCUCAAUAUUCAGAUGGUGAAUAGGAUCUUGCUUCUCAAACUUUAAGGCUAAUAAUGAGAAUAGUAUUUUGUUAAUGGGAAAUUCAACUAUGUUCUAGGUGUUGUUCUUGCUGCAUUUGGUUUUGAGAGUUUGAUUUAAAUAAUUUAUUACAUUUGUUAGUGGGGUCAUGAAGUUUUAAUUACUAUCUUACGGAUUGUAUUUGGGUUUAGAUAUAAGUUAGUUCAUUUCCUUAAUUAAUAAAGAAUGUUCCAUGAAAGUUAAUACCAAAGUAGUUAGAUCUCAUACUUUCUUCAAUAAUUUUUACAACUUUGGCCUUCGCCACAAUCUCAAAGUAUUUUUUUUUUUGGAAAAUACGAUGAACAUUCUAGUUUCCUCUAGGUACGUAGUAAAACCAUCACAACUAUGGAUACGAUUCCCGUGGCGUGGUUGUGAUACCAAAUUAGUUUUAAAUAUAAAUAUUCAUAGUUCACUUAGUUGAAUGAUUUUCCUUUAAUAAAAUUGAGGUGUGUCAUACAAUCACCUAGUCUAUGGGCCUCACAUCGACAUCUUAACUAGUGUUGAAAAUGCCUUGAAUUCUCGUAGUUUGCUUUAGGCGCGGUAACUAAAUAAAUUGUCAUAGCUACGGGUACGGUUCCCGUGACGUAGUUAUGAUGCUUAAUUUCUAAAACUGGGGGUACAUUUAUGUGACCCGACCACAAUUUAAUCUUGUUAAUAAAAUAAACAUGUUGUGGAUCGUGGGUACGAUUCCCAUGACAUGAUUCGCAACGUGUAAUCAAAUAAUUAGUUGUAUAGUGAUUGGAUUGUUAAAAGCGAUUUUUUAAAAAAGGAAUAAAUGCACAUAUGUUUCAAAAAUAUUUUUAAAAUCAAAUAAACGUGCCAAUAUUAACAGUUGAGCGACCGUGCUAAAACCACAGAACCCCAGAAUACCUAACACCUUCUCCCGGGUUAACAUAAUUUCUUACCCGGAUUUCUGUAUUUCGCGGACUGUAAAACAGAGUCAAUCUUUCCUCGAUUCGGGAUUUUAAACCGGUGACUUGGGACACCAAAAAUUAUCCCAAGAGGAUUUUGAUUGUCACUUAAAUUGGAAAAACUCCUUUAUACCCCUUCCGGUGGUAAAAAAAGAGGUGUGACAAUGAGUGCCAAAGAGCAGGUGGAAUUUCAAAGAAGGAUGAAAUGCCUCUUAAUACUAUUCUUGAGGUUGACAUAUUUGACGUGUGGGGCAUUGACUUCAUGGGAACCUUUGUAAGUUCAUGUGGCAACACAUACAUUCUAGUGGCCGUUGAAUAUGUUUCCAAAUGGGUUGAGGCUGUGGCUUUACCGAACAACGAGGCCCCGAGUGUGGUAGCUUUUCUCAAGAAGAAUAUCUUUACUCGGUUUGGCACUCCUAAAGCAAUCAUUAGUGAUGUGGUUUCUCAUUUCUGCAAUAAGGCAUUUGACACUUUACUUGUAAAAUACGGUGUCAAUCACAAGGCUUCAACCCCUUACCAUCCGAAGGCUAGUGGGCAAGUUGAGGUAUCCAACAGGGAGAUCAAGAGCAUAUUGUCAAAGACGGUUAAUGCAAAUAGGACUGAUUGGUCGAAGAAACUGGAUGAUACUUUGUGGGCUUACAGGACUGCUUACAAGACUCCGAUUGAUAUGUAAAUAAGCGGCAAUUAGCACAUUAAGUCCACAAAUACAGUAAUUUCAACAAACAAUAAAGCCAAGCAUAGCUUAUAUUUAACAAGCUCAAAUUUUGAACCCUGAACCAGAGAUUCUGCGUUCGAUCCCCAACAGAGUCACCAGAGCUGUCACACCUCCUUUUUGCCGAUAGGGAUAGGGAGUUUUUCCAAUUAAAGUUUCCAUAAUCGAAAUGAGAUUAUUUAUUUAUUUAGAGACGCCACUUGGAAUAUUUAUGGUGUCCUAAGUCACCUAUUUAUUUUAAAAUUCCAAAUCGAGGAAAUUUGACUCUUAUUUAUGGUCUACGAACACAGAAGACCGGGUAAGUAAUUCUGUAAACCCAGGAGAAGUUGUUACGCAUUUCUGAGUUCCGUGGUUUUAGCAAGGUCGUUUUUAAUCAUACCUAGCUAUAAUUUGUUUAAUUAUGUAUUUUAGAACCAAUGUGUAUUUUACCCUUACCGAUCUUGGUUGAUUAUUCGUAAUUAACAAAUUAUCUUGAAACGAGUCACGCGUACGUGUAUUCAUUUUGUUUGGCACGUCAAGAAUUAUGUCACACAUACGUGUACAGAAUUAAUAAUAUUUUAUUAUUAUUAAGAUUGUUUGGCCGAAGUUGCGUGAACACAUACCUCGAUUUAUUUUGAAAAAUCAUAAUUAUGUCACGCGAACGUGUACACAAUCACGAUAAUAGAUUAAGCCGCGCCUAAAGCAUUUUUCUAAGAAUAUUCAUUUUUAAAUCAUACUCGUGUCAUGCGAACGUGUAUACAAUUGAUAAUAUUUUAUUAUUAUUAAGAUUGUUUUGCCCAACGUUGCACGAACGCAUACUUUGGUGUGAAUGUCAGAAAUCCUAAGAAUUGACUACCCAGGUGAGAUCGGCCUAAACAUGCCACUAGCGGACCCAAACAUGCCACUAGCGGACCCCAAAUGAAUUAAAGAUAAAAUAAUAAGAUUGCCUCGAGCGUAAACCCCUCAGUUCAUCUCAAUCCCAAACCCGCAUAUCCAACAUCAAUUUAAUGAAUUUGACCCAAACCCAUUUUUGAUCAACCCCCCACGAUUCAAACAAUUCACUGUUUACCAUUUCAUUCAAAUUCAUUCAUGUCUUCAUUUUCAUUGAACAUAUCUUGUAAGACAAAAUAAAUAAAAACAAAUGAAACAAUAUAACAAUAAAGCUAACCCAGAUUAAACAAAUUAUAAACAUAUUCAAACUUGUUGAAACAAAGAGGUAUAUCUAUCGAUUAAAUAAAGAGAUGAAAAGAAAUGGACCUCAAUAAUUAACUCCUUAGUAUUGACGAGAACUUGGUUACGGCAAAACUCCGGCGAGUCGAAUCUGACCAAGAAAUGAAACGGCAGGAGCUCGGAUCGCGAAUCACAGAAUUAACCUCGAACGAUACCAACAACCAAAAACUAGUGAAGAUUAAUUUGUUUUGGUGAACACAAGUGUUUGUGGUAUUGUCUAUUAGUGGAAAGGUGGUGUUGAUUGAGAUUUUUAGGCAAAGAAUGUGGUGUUUCACGGUGAUGCAGGUGGCGGGUUCAUAGAGUUUUCACAUAGCUUGUUCUUCCAAAUCUCUCUAUUAUUCUCUGCCCAUCCUCUCUCUAUGUGUGUAUGCGAGAGCUGAUCGAUUAAGGAAAUUGGGUCGUUUUUCUUUCGAAGGAAGCAGCGGCGUUCAAGGUCCAAAUUCGAAAGGGGGGGGGGGGGGGGGUCUUCCGUUUUUAGGAUAGAGAUCAAGGUCCUAUUCUUUUCUUGUGUGAUUAGGUUUUAUUUAGCAUUAUAAGAAGGUUGUGGGCUCAAAUGAGUGAUGGGUCAAUUGAUAUUGGGUUUUGGGUAGUGGGCUUGGC